rnacentral:rRNA from 1 species
CAGCCGCCACGGGAAUACGUAGGGUGCAAGCGUUAUCCGGAAUUAUUGGGCGUAAAGAGCUCGUAGGCGGUUUGUCGCGUCUGCUGUGAAAACUGGGGGCUCAACCCCCAGCCUGCAGUGGGUACGGGCAGACUAGAGUGCGGUAGGGGAGAUUGGAAUUCCUGGUGUAGCGGUGGAAUGCGCAGAUAUCAGGAGGAACACCGAUGGCGAAGGCAGAUCUCUGGGCCGUAACUGACGCUGAGGAGCGAAAGCAUGGGGAGCGAACAGGAUUAGAUACCCGUGUAGUCCCUGUCUCUUAUAC